rnacentral:rRNA from 1 species
UUAAGCGACUAAGCGUACACGGUGGAUGCCCUGGCAGUCAGAGGCGAUGAAGGACGUGCUAAUCUGCGAUAAGCGUCGGUGAGGUGAUAUGAACCGUUAUAACCGGCGAUUUCCGAAUGGGGAAACCCAGUGUGUUUCGACACACUAUCAUUAACUGAAUCCAUAGGUUAAUGAGGCGAACCGGGGGAACUGAAACAUCUAAGUACCCCGAGGAAAAGAAAUCAACCGAGAUUCCCCCAGUAGCGGCGAGCGAACGGGGAGGAGCCCAGAGCCUGAAUCAGUGUGUGUGUUAGUGGAAGCGUCUGGAAAGGCGCGCGAUACAGGGUGACAGCCCCGUACACAAAAAUGCACAUAUUGUGAGCUCGAUGAGUAGGGCGGGACACGUGGUAUCCUGUCUGAAUAUGGGGGGACCAUCCUCCAAGGCUAAAUACUCCUGACUGACCGAUAGUGAACCAGUACCGUGAGGGAAAGGCGAAAAGAACCCCGGCGAGGGGAGUGAAAAAGAACCUGAAACCGUGUACGUACAAGCAGUGGGAGCCUCUUUAUGGGGUGACUGCGUACCUUUUGUAUAAUGGGUCAGCGACUUAUAUUCUGUAGCAAGGUUAACCGAAUAGGGGAGCCGAAGGGAAACCGAGUCUUAACUGGGCGUUAAGUUGCAGGGUAUAGACCCGAAACCCGGUGAUCUAGCCAUGGGCAGGUUGAAGGUUGGGUAACACUAACUGGAGGACCGAACCGACUAAUGUUGAAAAAUUAGCGGAUGACUUGUGGCUGGGGGUGAAAGGCCAAUCAAACCGGGAGAUAGCUGGUUCUCCCCGAAAGCUAUUUAGGUAGCGCCUCGUGAAUUCAUCUCCGGGGGUAGAGCACUGUUUCGGCAAGGGGGUCAUCCCGACUUACCAACCCGAUGCAAACUGCGAAUACCGGAGAAUGUUAUCACGGGAGACACACGGCGGGUGCUAACGUCCGUCGUGAAGAGGGAAACAACCCAGACCGCCAGCUAAGGUCCCAAAGUCAUGGUUAAGUGGGAAACGAUGUGGGAAGGCCCAGACAGCCAGGAUGUUGGCUUAGAAGCAGCCAUCAUUUAAAGAAAGCGUAAUAGCUCACUGGUCGAGUCGGCCUGCGCGGAAGAUGUAACGGGGCUAAACCAUGCACCGAAGCUGCGGCAGCGACACUAUGUGUUGUUGGGUAGGGGAGCGUUCUGUAAGCCUGUGAAGGUGGCCUGUGAGGGUUGCUGGAGGUAUCAGAAGUGCGAAUGCUGACAUAAGUAACGAUAAAGCGGGUGAAAAGCCCGCUCGCCGGAAGACCAAGGGUUCCUGUCCAACGUUAAUCGGGGCAGGGUGAGUCGACCCCUAAGGCGAGGCCGAAAGGCGUAGUCGAUGGGAAACAGGUUAAUAUUCCUGUACUUGGUGUUACUGCGAAGGGGGGACGGAGAAGGCUAUGUUGGCCGGGCGACGGUUGUCCCGGUUUAAGCGUGUAGGCUGGUUUUCCAGGCAAAUCCGGAAAACCAAGGCUGAGGCGUGAUGACGAGGCACUACGGUGCUGAAGCGACAAAUGCCCUGCUUCCAGGAAAAGCCUCUAAGCAUCAGGUAACAUCAAAUCGUACCCCAAACCGACACAGGUGGUCAGGUAGAGAAUACCAAGGCGCUUGAGAGAACUCGGGUGAAGGAACUAGGCAAAAUGGUGCCGUAACUUCGGGAGAAGGCACGCUGAUAUGUAGGUGAAGCGACUUGCUCGUGGAGCUGAAAUCAGUCGAAGAUACCAGCUGGCUGCAACUGUUUAUUAAAAACACAGCACUGUGCAAACACGAAAGUGGACGUAUACGGUGUGACGCCUGCCCGGUGCCGGAAGGUUAAUUGAUGGGAUUAGCGGUAACGCGAAGCUCUUGAUCGAAGCCCCGGUAAACGGCGGCCGUAACUAUAACGGUCCUAAGGUAGCGAAAUUCCUUGUCGGGUAAGUUCCGACCUGCACGAAUGGCGUAAUGAUGGCCAGGCUGUCUCCACCCGAGACUCAGUGAAAUUGAACUCGCUGUGAAGAUGCAGUGUACCCGCGGCAAGACGGAAAGACCCCGUGAACCUUUACUAUAGCUUGACACUGAACAUUGAGCCUUGAUGUGUAGGAUAGGUGGGAGGCUUUGAAGUGUGGACGCCAGUCUGCAUGGAGCCGACCUUGAAAUACCACCCUUUAAUGUUUGAUGUUCUAACGUUGGCCCGUAAUCCGGGUUGCGGACAGUGUCUGGUGGGUAGUUUGACUGGGGCGGUCUCCUCCUAAAGAGUAACGGAGGAGCACGAAGGUUGGCUAAUCCUGGUCGGACAUCAGGAGGUUAGUGCAAUGGCAUAAGCCAGCUUGACUGCGAGCGUGACGGCGCGAGCAGGUGCGAAAGCAGGUCAUAGUGAUCCGGUGGUUCUGAAUGGAAGGGCCAUCGCUCAACGGAUAAAAGGUACUCCGGGGAUAACAGGCUGAUACCGCCCAAGAGUUCAUAUCGACGGCGGUGUUUGGCACCUCGAUGUCGGCUCAUCACAUCCUGGGGCUGAAGUAGGUCCCAAGGGUAUGGCUGUUCGCCAUUUAAAGUGGUACGCGAGCUGGGUUUAGAACGUCGUGAGACAGUUCGGUCCCUAUCUGCCGUGGGCGCUGGAGAACUGAGGGGGGCUGCUCCUAGUACGAGAGGACCGGAGUGGACGCAUCACUGGUGUUCGGGUUGUCAUGCCAAUGGCACUGCCCGGUAGCUAAAUGCGGAAGAGAUAAGUGCUGAAAGCAUCUAAGCACGAAACUUGCCCCGAGAUGAGUUCUCCCUGAGACUUAGAGUCUCCUGAAGGAACGUUGAAGACGACGACGUUGAUAGGCCGGGUGUGUAAGCGCAGCGAUGCGUUGAGCUAACCGGUACUAAUGAACCGUGAGGCUUAACCUU